AUACGUAGGGUGCAAGCGUUAAUCGGAAUUACUGGGCGUAAAGCGUGCGCAGGCGGUUUUGUAAGACAGUGGUGAAACCCCCGGGCUCAACCUGGGAACUGCCAUUGUGACUGCAAGGCUGGAGUGCGGCAGAGGGGGAUGGAAUUCCGCGUGUAACAGUGAAAUGCGUAGAUAUGCGGAGGAACACCGAUGGCGAAGGCAAUCCCCUGGGCCUGCACUGACGCUCAUGCACGAAAGCGUGGGGAGCAAACAGGAUUAGAUACCCUGGUAGUCCACGCCCUAAACGAUGUCAACUGGUUGUUGGGGAUUUAUUUUCUCAGUAACGAAGCUAACGCGUGAAGUUGACCGCCUGGGGAGUACGGCCGCAAGGUUAAAACUUAAAGGAAUUGACGGGG
rnacentral:rRNA from 1 species